rnacentral:rRNA from 1 species
CCUACGGGAGGCAGCAGUGGGGAAUAUUGGGCAAUGGACGCAAGUCUGACCCAGCAACGCCGCGUGAAGGAAGAAGGCUUUCGGGUUGUAAACUUCUUUUAAGGGGGAAGAGCAGAAGACGGUACCCCUUGAAUAAGCCACGGCUAACUACGUGCCAGCAGCCGCGGUAAUACGUAGGUGGCAAGCGUUGUCCGGAUUUACUGGGUGUAAAGGGCGUGCAGCCGGGCCGACAAGUCAGAUGUGAAAUCCGCGGGCUUAACCCGCGAACUGCAUUUGAAACUAUUGGUCUUGAGUACCGGAGAGGUCAUCGGAAUUCCUUGUGUAGCGGUGAAAUGCGUAGAUAUAAGGAAGAACACCAGUGGCGAAGGCGGAUGACUGGACGGCAACUGACGGUGAGGCGCGAAAGCGUGGGGAGCAAACAGGAUUAGAUACCCCAGUAGUC